rfam:Perkinsus marinus ATCC 50983 gcontig_1104296271952, whole genome shotgun sequence.
GCACCGGUAGUCUAAUGGUUGAGUUAUCUGCCUUCCAAGCAGAUGGUCCGGGUUCGAUUCCCGGGCGGUGCA